CCUACGGGGGGCAGCAGUGGGGAAUAUUGGACAAUGGGGGCAACCCUGAUCCAGCCAUGCCGCGUGUGUGAAGAAGGCCCUCGGGUUGUAAAGCACUUUCAGGGAGGAAGAACGCCUGGUGGUUAAUACCCAUCAGGAAAGACAUCACUCACAGAAGAAGCACCGGCUAACUCCGUGCCAGCAGCCGCGGUAAUACGGAGGGUGCGAGCGUUAAUCGGAAUUACUGGGCGUAAAGCGCGCGUAGAUGGCUUGAUAAGCCGGUUGUGAAAGCCCCGGGCUCAACCUGGGAACGGCAUCCGGAACUGUCAAGCUAGAGUGCAGGAGAGGAAGGUAGAAUUCCCGGUGUAGCGGUGAAAUGCGUAGAGAUCGGGAGGAAUACCAGUGGCGAAGGCGGCCUUAUGGACUGCCACUGACACUGAGGUGCGAAAGCGUGGGUAGCAAACAGGAUUAGAUACCCCUGUAGUC
rnacentral:rRNA from 1 species